CAGAGAGACACUGCAGACGCCGCCAUGACCAGCAGCAUGUGAAGACUCCGUGUGCAGAAAAACAAGACAGCGUCAUAGCACUGGAGUUACGGAAGCCAACCUUGGAAAUGUCUUCACUGAUAUGGCUCCAUAUGUAUUUCAAAUACCUCAACUUCACACCAUCCCACAAUGAGUGAAGAAGACGCUGGAAUUCAGUCAAAUUCAUCCUUCUGAAAAACUGCAAAUGAGGAUACUGUUGAUUAAAGUCGACUGUCGUCUACAUGAAUCACCCAGAUUAAAAUCUAAAUUUCAAGAAAAGGGGCUGCGAAGGAUGCGGUUGGGCGUCCGACAAACUCUCAGCUGAACUAUAAAGCUGGGACUGCGCCUUCCCAAAUCUUUUCCUAGGCAAGAGGUCCCAACAGCCCGCGUGGGGCUCGUGUGUUUCUUAAGAGUGGCUAGAGAGUCCCCAUCCCCCAAGCCCAGACGCACCAGGAGCCGGGUGAACCAUUCUGGGCUGUCAAAACACAAGGCGCCGUGCUCAAUCCCAAUAACUCGAGUGAUGAUUAAUGAGCGGCUUGAUCAUUUAAUAUCUCAUGUGAUUAAAUUAUAAGGCGUGGGGGAGGGGAGCUCCGCACACUCCCGACCGCGGUGGGGGACACGGAUCAGCCAGCGGAGUACUGGCAGCGCUCGAGCCGUCCACUCCUGCUUCGAACAUCGCCUGGUGUGGCUCCGCCACCGUGGGUCGGCGCCUUCUCAAGGUUAUCUGCUGACUCAAUGAUGCCGAGAUACUAAGGAUUCCUAAAGUUUCGAAAGGAGAGUUAGUUUUAUUCUCUUAUCCCCAAGAUCACUUCAGUUUGAUGAUGUUUGAGAUCUACAGUUUGAGAUCUGCAGAACAGCCGUCCAAAUCGGUGGUGCAUUCCGCGGCAUUGUUCCGCAGGACUGGCAGAAGAAAAUAGAGCCAAAUCAAUGUUCUGGAAGAUCACAGGUUGCUGCUGCUGAGGAAUGGAGAACUGAGAAUGAGUUACACGUGGUUUUGCUGUGCUCCCCACCAGGAUGUGCUGCCUCAGGCUCAAAAGCAGCAGAAGCACUUGAUGACAGCCUGAGAUCUCUAAACCCAUGAGCCAGACCAGUUUCUGCUGGUGUGCACUUUAUGAAAAACGGAAAAUACCAGCAUCCUUGCUUUGUAAGGUGCUUCUUCCUGGUUAUCUGAGCAGGUCAAAUUCCUCCAGAUUCACUGACUGGCUGUAGAGUCUCAAACCAGAAACCAACGGCAUGCUGAUGGUACCUGUACUCAGCCUUGGAUUCAAAGUGUGCACCGGAAUUCACAUUGCCUGCCAGGUCAACCUCAGCAGAUCAGAAGCCAGGCUGGACCCAGAGCACCUGCGGAGUGACAUGGUCAACUGGCCACAAGAUGGCUUGAUCUACAACCAUCGCAGGCUUCUGCCUGGCUCUGGGAGGGUGGCACAUGGCAGAAAUCCUGCCUUUGCUGCUAAAGGACUAGCAAGGAACCUGGGAAAGGCCUGGAAGCCAAGGCAGGCUGGGCAGAUGCCGACUCUGCAGCUAGCAACCACCCUCGCAGAAAGCAGGCAGUGAGCUCGAAACUGCAGCCUGUGACAGACAGCUCCUUAUUUGCAACGGAGCAAAUGAGCAAGGGCAGAUUGCGCAGUACUUGGAGACAAGCGCAUCCAGGCAUCCAGGCGAGAGGAGGACGUGCGUGCGGUGCGCUUGCAGGGCCAGCAUCCUUGAUCAGAAGCCUUGCCAGCUUUGACCAGCACCCGCGGGCUGCAUCGGAAGCAUCUGGAGACAUAUUUGAUGGAACACCCCAUAAUUAGACCGGCUGGCUUAAUUAGGAGAAGUUUGUGGGUAGAGGGUUGCUGAGGGGCUGUGCUGGGAUCUGAAGGUUUACUGCCUCCUCCCAGGAGGCCUGGGACACAAAGCUCUACCCGCUGAGUGUGCAUGUGUUGGUGUCUGAAGAUCCAAGACAGCUCUGUAGCAUCUGUGAACCCAAGGCAGGGGACCAGGGGACCGGCCCCUGCAACAAAAACAACAGCCUGUCACAUUCAUUCCCCCACCCCUUAGAUAUAACAAGACAAACAGGAGGAACACUCAGAUGCUUAGAUCACUGUGUGCAAACCACUCUGGAAGGUAUGUUUUGAAACUGGCUUCCAGAGGCUGGCAGCAGGAGGAUCUGGACCGUGGUGUUCAUCUUAUUUUUGGGAAUCCCUCCCGUAGCAGAAAAGUGCACCAUCCUAAGGGCUCCUUAGGAACCAAGGCCUUAAUUGCCCAGCCCUACCAGUCAAAGCUUUCCAACCAUCUUAGAAACACCAGACACUGGCCACGGUGUCAGCUCCCAGCAACGCAGAUAGAGCCGGGCUAGUGGUACAAUGCACAUCUGGGAGACAUCUGUGCAUAACUGUAAAGCAAAUGCAGACCAAGCCGUUACAAGCCUCAGGACUCUAGGUGCUGUGGUUUGAACAUGCACAGGAGGAUGAGGGAAGAACAGGAUGGAACCCUUCCAUGGUAGGGAAAUGCAGUGGCCAUAAGAGAGACCACAGUUAUCAGUGUAUUCCAAACUCCAUAUUCACUGACUCUGUUCACAUGCCUAGAAGCGGCUCUUUUUCUGCUCACACCAGGAAAGAGUAAGGAAGAGAGAAAAGGAUGUGUGUGUGUGUGUGUGUGUGUGUGAUGGGUGCCUGUGUGUAGGGUUUAUUUUCCCCUCAAGUCAGCAAUUUUUGCUUUAUGGGAUAUGAAUGCUAUUUGUUGCUGGCAUGCUAUUAGUAAACAGAAACAGACAUCAAUAAUCUGUUCCCACUUUACCAAAUUAAAAUGAUUUCCCUGCUUUAUAGAGAUGAGGUGAUUUAUACAUCAGGCCAUUCAGGAUAUGAAAAAUGAGAUGUGUUCCCUAAAUAUCUCACUUGAUAGAAACAUUUGAUGAAACACACUUCAAGCCACUCAUGGUAUCAAUUUUAAACUAAGCCAACCAGGUAGUCUGCAUGGAAACAGGCCAUGCGGACAGAGGACCUAGCUGUUGAAUUUUUAAUGUGCUGUUGAAAAACAUUAAUGGGCUCCAUUGUGAAAUCCUAAAAAUGGGUUUCAAAUGUAUUUGAACAGAAUUCUUCACAAAAUGAUGAAAUCUACAUUCCAGCUACUUACAACUCAGUCCUUUGUUUUUUUUUUUUUUAAUUUCCUUUUUUUUUUUAUUAUAGAUGUGCCUAUGAUGUGUGUGUGUGUGUGAUAUGUGUGUGUGAGUGCUAGCUAGUGUGUUCAUGCCAGGUUCCGAAUGUGGAGGUCAGAAGACAGCUUUUGGGAGUCGAUUCGAGGUUUGAACUCAGGUUAUGAGGCCUGUGCUGCAAGCGCCUUUACUUGCUGAGCCAUCUAGUCAGCCCUUAAUCCUUUUUACAAUCUCAGUUUGUGAGUUAAAUAAUCAGUGUUUCAGAGAACUUUGCCUUUAGCAACUAAAAAGAGGAAGGGUGGAGAAAGCGUGGGGGAAAUGCUGGAAAUACCGACAGUGUUUCUGGGCAUCCAAGAGGACCGCUGAAGGGUAAAAAAUUUCUCUUAGGAAAGAGAAGACACCAGCAAAGCCAAGCUCCAGGUAAACUCAGCUCCUAGUGUUUUGCCUCCCAGUCGGCCAUGACAGGCGCAGGAUGCCUUACUCUUGUGUGUGGGUACCUCAGAGUACAGGCCUCACUGAAAGAAAGACAUUUUUUCAUCCACUCAAGGGAGGCUGAUGUGCUUGCUUGUGUGAUGUGGAAUCAAGGAAUGCAUUAAAAAUGUAAUUAUUUUGACACAUUCCUUUAAAAAGGUUUUUUAUCCUUAAUGCAAAGUGGUUUAGACUGCCAUUGUGAACAAGAAGCCACCGUCCUUGGUCCCUAAACUGUGAGCACCUUGAAGACGCGACACCAGACACAAUCAGCCGUCACCAGGAAUUUGAAGACAUAUUGUGGGGAGGGAUCAUUUCCGAGCUGGGAGAAGCUGAGAUCUUUUCUUCCUACUCCUCCCAGAAUUCUCUCUGCAUCCUCACUUUAUUCCAUCUUACAAGCCAAGGCUCAUUUUUCCUCAUAAAAACAGUUUGGAAGGUGACUAAUCCACUGUGCUUUUCCCCUAAAAACUUACUGAUUCUGCAACACCGUAGUGAGAAAUGCCACAGACACCAUUCCUCAGAAACAAAUUCUGGAGGAGAGUAUAACACUGGCAUCAUCACCCCGCUUCCAGACCACUGAGAGCUGUGAUGGGUACCUAAGGAUCAUGGGUGAAGUUUCUCAUUCAGGGGAGAAGUUUGUCUGUUUCUGUCCCAUCCCAUUUUGCCUUGGUUUGAUGCUAAGUGAUGGAACCCCUUAACACCUGCCCCCCAAUCUCUUCUCUUUCUACCCACCCCAUAGUCAUAGAGGGGGCUCAGAUGGUCUGCGGCAAAAUGCCAUUUGAAUCACUGAUGAGUAAUUUACAUGCACAGCAGGUGGGAGUGAGUUAGUACAUAAAGGUCCUUUGAAGAGGGAAACAAAAUGUUGCUGCCUUUCUUAGAGAACGUUGACCUUGGCAACAGUCUGUGAGGAAGCCUUUCCAGAGGAAAGGUAAUGCUUUGCAAGUGUCCAGGGAGUCUCAUGGCACACGUCGAGGGCCUUGCAGGCUAGAGCUGGUUUUCAAACACACAUUUGUUCAGUCACUACCCAAAAGGUGAAGGGCUCCGACUCUAUCUGAGCUAACAGCUGUAGCCAGAGCCUAGGACGAAAGAAUUCUAGCUUCACUGGGUUUUCUCAUCCUAAUAACUGCCUUUCCUUACUGUGUCCACUCUUAUCUCCAGGCCUUCUAAUAAAGUUAUUUGAAAUUGAAGACAAGCUUAAAACUCCAGCCACCCUAAAGAAGCACACCAAUUUCCUUUCAGGGUAACAAUUCUAUCUGGAACAAAAGUGCUUGUAGGUGUAUAUGUAUCUGGAUUAAGCAAGGCUGUCAGCAUUUAGUAUAAAUGGAAAUGUCUUCUCUUUUCAGGAUGUAGGCAUAAGAAUUGGCUUUUGAAAACAGUCAAAUUCAUAUUUCUAAUAGGAAAAAAAAAAGCAGAGAAAGAACUAAAGAUGCACUUAGCUUUUUAUUCAAGACCAAGCAUGUUGUUCCCCUAGUCUGGUUAAUUUUGGAUGCUGACAUCAUGCAUGCAUUUUAAAUUAUUAGGCAGAUAAUCACUUCCUUAAAAUAAUUUCCAUGCUCAGCUACAAUAAAAUAGAUUUCUUUCAAAGACCCCUUAGUAAAAUGUGCUCAGUGUUACUUUCUGUAUCACGCAGGUCAAUUUAAUUCAGCAUGGCUCUCUCUACCCAGCUAAACAAUUGCUUUUCAGUCUCUGGAGAGCGUGGUGAAUGCAGCCAAGAAUA